rnacentral:rRNA from 1 species
GACGGAAGGUGCAAGCGUUGCUCGGAAUCACUGGGCGUAAAGGGUGCGUAGGCGGCCGUGCAAGUCUGGCGUGAAAGCCCCGGGCUCAGCCCGGGAAGUGCGCUCGAAACUGCGCGGCUCGAGUGCCGGAGGGGAGAGUGGAAUUCCUGGUGUAGCGGUGAAAUGCGUAGAUAUCAGGAGGAACACCAGUGGCGAAGGCGGUUGCCUGGGGCUUUGCUGACGCUGAUGCGCGAAAGCGUGGGGAGCGAUCCGG